UCUGUGGCUCCGCCCACAGGAAGCAGAUGACCGAGUGAGCGCUGGUUGAGACGGAGGGGAUUUUCCACUGCCUCAUUGUUUUGAAGUUACAAGAUUGUUUUGUCUUAUGAACUGUACAAUACAAACGCUACCGGCUCCAAAGCAGAAACACAGUGUGGCCAAAGUGAACCAGUGGCACCAACACGGUGCUGAAUUUAAAUGUGAACAGCAGAACUUCCUCAGGUUUGGACCUAUGGGCUGAGUCUGUCCAUGUUUGCUUACUUUUUGAUACAAAGCUGCAAAAUGAGACUUUGCUAAGGAACAUGAACAGAAGCCUGAACUUCGGGAGCCUGUUCAGAUGAAACCACGAUGACUUUGUUGGGCUCAGAUGGAGUCCAGAUGUUCGGUGUGAACCUGACCAGGGUCACCACAGUGGAUGCAUGGUCCUGACAGUGAAGCACGGAGGUGGCAGCAUCAUGAUGUGGGCUGCUUUAGUGCAAAAGGUGACAUUUGUAGAUGCACCAUGAAUGUGUGUGAAUAUACUGAACCUCAAAGGACUCUCAGUGUGCAGAGGCUUGAAGAGAAGGAAUAUUUCAGUGGUAGUGAGUGUAAACUACGACGUGGCCAAGCGCUCGUCUGACUUGAAUCCAUUUGCAGACCUUUAAAGUUUAAGCAACGCAAAGUCUGACAAAUGGCAGUAAUUCGAUUUCCUCGAUGCUGAUUGAGUUUGUCGGCAGCUGAUGAUGAAUCACAAAACUCUGACGUUUCCUUAAUUGCAGUCAACGACGAGAAUCUAAUCCAGCCCAACCCGACUGAUCCUCCUGAGCCUCCUCAGAUAACUCCGACCAAGCUGCUGUGUUCCAUCCUGCUGUUCAUCCUCUACACCAUCAUACUCAUCCUGUGUAUCUACACCAUGAAAAAACUGGCUAGAGCUCGAGCUGAAGCUAAACGCAGACCUGCUGGCGUCUAGUUCUGGACUGAGGAGAGGAGCAGCGACGCUCUACGCUUUCAUAUUUACGAUCACAUCUUCUUCUUCUUCUGAGCACUCUGCUGCUGCGACGCCGACCGACCAAAUGGUGUCGCGUAUUUAACAGGCUUGAUUCUCAGCGUCAUGUCAACAUUAUAGUUCUUGCAUUUCUUGUUGUCAUGCAGCAAUAUUGAUUAUUAUUAAUCUGCACUUUCUGUAUUUGUUUUGGAAGUACUUGUUCUCUUGUGAAGGCUUUUCAUUAUUAUUAUGAUUGUUGUUAAAGUCUGAGGUUCAAACCAGAAAACACAGGAAGUAUUUAAAGAAGAGCUCACAAAUGUCAGAAAAAGAAGUGAAGAUGAAGAAUAUUUAGUGCGACUUUUCUUCUUUUGUUUUGAACUUUUCUGAGCACAAAAUACGAGAUUUACUGGUUGUAUGAUUCCCGGUGAGGUUUAAUUUAUUAAAUUAAAUUAAGUUAAAUUACUUUAAUUCAACAAUUUCGCUGAGGUUUGCACCAAAGGAUCAAUAAAGUUCUAUUCUAUUCUACUUACAUGUUUUAUGAUGUUGAGCAUCACGUUUUUUAAGAGUUUAACUCACUGGAAGUUUGCUGGUGUUGAAUUUUUUGAAGUUUAAAAGAAAGAAAGCAAGAAACGGGACAUUGGAGAUGCAGUGUUUAAGCUACUAUGAAUGAAUUCUAAGAAUCUGAAGAGCUGAAGGAUUAAAAAUGAAUAAAGAUGAGAAAACUGUU